AAAGGGAGACCUAAUUCAGGUAUGGGACGAAAAAAAAGUAGUCCCUACCAAGAAUCAAUCCCAAAAGGUCGGAACGAGGUGUGUGGCUUUCAAGCUAGGUUCUGGGUUCACACAAGACCUGAAUCAGGAACAAGGGCUAUUAGCUCAGGUGGUUAGAGCGCACCCCUGAUAAGGGUGAGGUCCCUGGUUCGAGUCCAGGAUGGCCCACCUGUACAGGUGGCAAAAACAAAGAAGCGAGGAAUCAGCACCUUAUCUUAUCUAUAUAUAUAUAGGAGAGAAUGCUGGCUCUGAGUAAAGAGUCCAGAGGAACCUUGAAAACUGCAUAGAGCUAGGUGAAAAAGCCAAAAAAGAAGACCGCAAG
rnacentral:tRNA from 1 species